UACGUAGGGUGCGAGCGUUGUCCGGAAUUAUUGGGCGUAAAGAGCUUGUAGGUGGUUUGUCGCGUCUGCUGUGAAAAUCCGAGGCUCAACCUCGGACUUGCAGUGGGUACGGGCAGACUAGAGUGUGGUAGGGGAGACUGGAAUUCCUGGUGUAGCGGUGGAAUGCGCAGAUAUCAGGAGGAACACCGAUGGCGAAGGCAGGUCUCUGGGCCAUUACUG
rnacentral:rRNA from 1 species